rnacentral:lncRNA from 1 species
UUACACGUUCGCAGUAACCGGUUACCACUAUUGUAUUGUUAGAAGUUGUUUCAGCUCUAACUUGUUACAUGUUUUGUGUGAUCGAUUACAAGUCUGAAAAUUUAGUUUUUCUAUUAUUUUGAUGUUGUAACUUGUAUCUCAAUCCACUUGUGUCUCAUUUUAUAUACCUUGGAGGUAUUGCUAUGAAUGUUAAUGUAAAUGAUAAUUUUUCACCCUCAACUUCUCUCUCUCAUUCUCUCCUC